UGCAUGGUAAAGUUUACUAUGAAUGAAACACUGCAGUGAGUUUUCAUCGAGCUUCUGUAUAGCAGCCCUUUUCUCUCUCCUACUCUAACAAGUGUAAUCCUGCAACACAAAAUUGUGCAAUUCAUGAGUAAUUCAUUGCUCAGUUUCUUAUUCAUCUACGUUUUGCGUAAGGGUCUCGUGGAAAUUAGCCAUCUUCUGAGUCCUUUCACAGCAGAGAGAAAGCGAGUGAGUCACACCCUGGAACGUAAGGGUUCUUACACUGUAAGGAUUGAAAAAGCAUACUAAUAUAAUGUACAUGUGUGAGAAAGAGCUAAUACUGAAGUGAACAAGUGCAACAGAACUAAGGUUUAUAUUGAAAAGAUAUGGAUUUGAAGAGUGGUUUCAGUGGAUGAGGAAUUGGUUGGAUUAUUUCAGAGGAUUAUGGUCAAAGGCGGAGGCUGGUGGUGAGUGGUGGCCCCAGGGAGUCCACCUUGGGAUGUAUUCAUCAACAUCUUUAUAAAUGACCUAAAUAGUGGGAUCGAGUGCACCUUCAACAAGUUUGCUGAUCACAUUAAGCUGAGUGGUGGAGUUGAUAUAACAGAAGGAAGGAAUGCCGUGCAAAGAGACAGACUCGAUAAGUGGGCCCACAGAACCUAGUGAGGUUCAACAAGGCCAAGUGGUGUAUUUGAGUUGGAGCAAUCCCAGACGUCCACAAACUAGAAGAAGAAUUCAUUGGGAGCAGCCCUGCAGAGAAGGACUUGGGGUUUCUGAUGGAUAAAGAGCUUGAUGCAAGCCAACAGUACGUGCUUGCAGUGCAGAAGGCCAACUGUCUCCUGAGCUGCAUAAUAAAGGUGUUGCCAGCAGGGUGAGGGAAGUGUCUGCCCUCUGCUCUGCCCGUGUGGCUCCACCUGGAGUACUGUGCUCAGGUCUGGGGCCCUCAGCAUAAAGAAAGACUUAAAGCUGUUGGUGCAGAUGGAGGAAGGCCACAGAGAUGAUCAUCUCUCUUAUGUGGAAAAGUUGAGGGAUCUGGGCAGGUUCUGUUUGGAGAAUAGAAGUCUCUGGUGAGACUCCAGUGAAUGGAGUUUACAAAUAUGAGGGAGAUUACAUGAUUUGAUAAUGAUGGGACAAGGAAGAAUGGUUUUAAACUAAAAGAGGGGAGGCUUAGGUUAGAUAUUAUGCAGAAUUUUUUUUAUAUAGGACAGUGGUAAGGCACUUGAACAGGUUACCCCAUCCCUGGAGGCAUUCAAGGUGAUGUUGGAUCGGGCCCUGGGCAGCCUGACCUAGUGGUUGGCAAUCCUGCCCAUGGCAAGAUUGAUUAGAACAUGGCAAGAUGGGUUAGAACUGGAUGGUAUUAAAGGUCCCUUCCAACUCAAGCCAUUCUAUGAUUUCAUCUAUAAAAAAUGUGUUUUAUGGAACAAAAUUAGCACCCCACUUGUACUACUUCAAAAGAACAGUAAAUUCUCUUCUGAAACCAAAAGCAAAUUUUAAAUUAAGAUUUCUUUCUUAUUUUUGCAGGAAAUACAUUUCAAAAAGUUCUGACUUUUUAGUAAAAUUUAUCAAGGAAACCAACCAGCAAAGUCAGGUGCUGAAGGAUUUGGGGAGAAAUAGGAGUGCUGUGCUUUGCCAGAAAGGUCGCAUGCGAUCAGCCUCAGCAUACACUAGAGAGAAGCUCCCCAUGAAGAUCUGCAGAACUUGAAGAGUGAGAACAGGACCCUGCAGUUAUAGAGAGAAGGGCCUCACAGCAAGAAAAGGGAAAGUAGCUUCACAAAGUAGAAAUAAGGGGCAAAUAGAGAUAGUUUAGGUAGAGAGUGUUAGAAAACAAGGGAUUCCAAGCACUUUCACAGACACUAGGUCUGGAAUAACAAGAAGGAUGAAGGCCAUAAAGAUAAGUACUGGAGAGCAGCUCAAAAACAUUUGGCAGGGAGGUGAUUAGAUGUCUACAGGGCAAGCUGAAACCAGUUUGGGGGAUGCCCCCCCCUUCAGGGUCAGAAGUUUGCAGUGAGGAAGACUAUGAGCCUUCGCGAGGAAGACUAUGAGCCUUCAUCAUCACGACCUACUACACAUGCGCAAGGGGGGGAGGGACUGCAUGCUACUGGGCUCUCAGGAAUGUAAUGAACAUGUAUCCAAAUUCCUGUCAACUAUUGAUUAUGUAUUAGUUCGACCUAUAUCUAUAGCACGAUUUCUCCUGACGGUGUGCAAGUUAGGUGGAACGAUCCCCUUUGCACCAGGGUGUACACGCGUCACCAAUAAACACAUACCUGCUCUAUAUCCUCACUGGCUAUAGGGUCUGAUUUCUGCACAUCAAACUACCUCUUUCUUUUUCCACACACAAACCUGCGAAACUUACCUCUGAAGUGCCAAAACUUGUUUCCACUUCCAAACAGACCUCCCUCUGACAUGGGCAGACUGAUACCACCUCUUUUCAUUUUGUCCCUGCAUAUAUCCCUACCCAUUUCAUGUCUCUCUUUACUACUCUGUGCACCAGUGGUGUGAGACAGAGAUUUUUUUGUUCUGUAACUAUAUACUUUGCAGCAUCAAGGAAUCUCGGUCUUGAGUAUGCCUCCAAAGUGUUGCUGUGGUAGAAAUAAUUAUGCAGUGGAAAAAUAGAACUGGAUGAUCUUAUAGCUUUUUCUUUGCCUCAGGCCACGAAGACAAACUGGAAAGAACUAUUCAUUAUUUCUGCUGAGUUAUAUAAUUGCCAAGUCCUUUGCAGAAGGUUGAUAAUCAUGAUAAUUCUCAUUUUAUAUUGGGCAUAGACCAGAAUGUUGUGCUGUGGUUUGGCUGGUUUUGUUCCUUCUAUAUUAAUAAUAAACUAUGUGUGACGAAAACAAAACACCUUCUACUGCACUUUUGAAGAUAGCAAUCUAGUCAUUUCAUUGCUACCUUAAGUUUUACUCUUGACAUACAGAAAAUAUAUCAGUAACCAAAUUUCAUUAGUAGUUUCCCGAAUUCUGAGGAAAGUGCUUUGAAAAGCUUUCCCUGUGAGACUUUAUUGCUAGCAAAAUUAAAAGAUUUUCUUGGUAAAUAUGAAGAAGAUGACUUUCAAAAUUCGGAGUAAAUCCUUCAAGUUUUAAAAAAACAUUACUUUUAUUUUAAAAUACUUUAGAGAUGAAUCUAUAGAAAUAUCUUUGAAACCACAUUAAUUCCAGUAUAAAUUUCAUGUAGCAGUAAUACAGAGCAGACACACCACUCAUUACUUUAAAUCAUUUGCAUUCUGUACAUGCAAAAGCAAAUAAUCCACUUUAUAAUAUGUGACAAAAUCUCAGUUGAUAAGCAAAUGAAAAUGGAAAAUUAUUGAAGUCAAAGGGAAAAAAGAAAAUCCUGAAUUGAACUAACAAAACAAAACAAACAAGAACAACAACAAAACAAAACAAAACAACCACACCUACAGUUUUCCAGGACAAGCAAGAUUUACCAGCUGCCAAACUGUAACACUGGGCAAAAUCCAUGGAUGAGGUUUGCUUUCCUUCCUUCCCCGUAUUUUUUUUUUUUUAACAUCUUUUUUUCAGUAAGAAACAUAAAUCACAGAAUCAAAGAACGGCCCAAGCUGGAAAGUCCACCCAUUGGCUCCACACAGGACCACCCAAAAAUCAGACCAUAUGUCUGAGAGCAUUGUCCAAAUGCUCCUUAACUCUAGCAGUUUGGUACCAUGACCACAGCCCUGGGAAGUAUGUUCCAGUGCCUGACCACCCCCUGGCAAAGAACCUUUUCCUGACAUCCAGCCUCACCCUCCCCAUUGCAGCUCUAUGCCCUUCCCUUGCUCCCUGCCUCUUAUCAAAGAGCAGAGCUCAGUGCUGUCUCUCCGCUCCCUGUGAGAGCUGCAGCCUCCAUGAGGCGUUCCCUCACCUCCUCAGUUCCAAACUGAACAAACCAAUGGACCACACCUGCUCCUCGUUCAGGUUGUCCUCUAGACCCUUCAUCAUCUUUGUAGCUCUAAAUAAAUGAAUAAAAGCUCUUCAAGGGUCAGCCUAUUCUAAGCGAGGAAAAAGUGAAAAAACAAUCAACCAAAUACAUUUUUUUUAAAUUAAUAGAUAUUUCAGUACAGUGUAGGAUACUUAUGGCCUUGCUACCCAUGUCUGUUUCAGUGAGGAACUGGUUAAAGAGUUUAACAUGAGCCACUUCAUUAUAUUGUCAUCUUUUUAAAAAGAUUUUAACCCAAAGGUUAAUUUAAGGACUGGAAUAUAGAAGCUUAUGGUUCCUAUUCAUUUACUCUUAAAGCUGAAAUUCCUGCAAUAUUGAACUUAUGAAUUUUAUUUAUUUGUUCUAAAAAACUCCAAUGCAUGCAAAAAAAUUGAAAGAACCAAUUCCCAUAUUUGGCAUAAAAUCUGGAACUCCAGCCAAGUGUAAGUAAGAGUUUUUCUGAAACUGAGCUUGAUUUCAAUCACAUGUGAGUGAACAGUGCUGUAAGAUGCUCUUACUUCAAGACUGUCCCCGAUUCAUAAGGAAAACAUUUGCAAUUUUAUGGAGAUAUCUCAUAAUUAUCUCUUCCCAAGCCUCAUCAACCCUAGAGGACAAAUCUGUCUCAGCCAAACUAGUACUAAAUGGAAGAUGUUCAUUUAGUCUAACUUAAUCUUUUUUUCCUCCCAAUGUUGGGCAGAAGGACUUCUGUUUCCAUAGUUACAAAGAUAUUUCCUUUGAACUUUUUCCAGGAAACUUUUAUGUCUUCCACAUGCACUGACACAUUACCUUAUGAGGUACGUAUACAUUUGGGAAACUCUUUCUCCUUCACCACCAAUUCCUUGCUGGAUGUAACAGAAGAAAUUUAGUCCAUUGUUAGAAUAAAGUUUGACUUGCUGAUUUAGGAAUUUUAAUAUUUAGUAAUGUAUUACUAUAAAUUGACUGCAAAGUACUACAAGUGAUAGUUUAAAGCACUUUUUUCCCCAAAGUUGUUAUUCAGCAAAGCUGAUUCCUUAUUAUUAGGUAUUUUGAUUCAGUAUAGUUG
ensembl:lncRNA